rnacentral:rRNA from 1 species
CGGAUUGCAGGCUGCAACCCGCCUGUAUGAAGUUGGAAUCGCUAGUAAUCGCGGAUCAGCAUGCCGCGGUGAAUACGUUCCUGGGCCUUGUACACACCGCCCGUCACACCAUGAGAGUCGGGAACACCCGAAGUCCGUAGCCUAACCGCAAGGAGGGCGCGGCCGAAGGUGGGUUCGAUAAUUGGGGUGAAGUCGUAACAAGGUAGC